GACGAACGCUGGCGGCGUGCUUAACACAUGCAAGUCGAACGGAAAGGCCCUGCUUUUGUGGGGUGCUCGAGUGGCGAACGGGUGAGUAACACGUGAGUAACCUGCCCUUGACUUUGGGAUAACUUCAGGAAACUGGGGCUAAUACCGGAUAGGAGCUCCUGCUCCAUGGUGUGGGUUGGAAAGUUUCGGCGGUUGGGGAUGGACUCGCGGCUUAUCAGCUUGUUGGUGGGGUAGUGGCUUACCAAGGCUUUGACGGGUAGCCGGCCUGAGAGGGUGACCGGCCACAUUGGGACUGAGAUACGGACCAGACUCCUACGGGAGGCAGCAGUGGGGAAUAUUGCACAAUGGGCGGAAGCCUGAUGCAGCAACGCCGCGUGCGGGAUGACGGCCUUCGGGUUGUAAACCGCUUUCGCCUGUGACGAAGCGUGAGUGACGGUAAUGGGUAAAGAAGCACCGGCUAACUACGUG
rnacentral:rRNA from 1 species